rnacentral:rRNA from 1 species
AUUGAACGCUGGCGGCAGGCCUAACACAUGCAAGUCGAGCGGAGCGGCGGACGGGCGAGUAAUGCCUAGGAAUCUGCCUGGCAGUGGGGGAUAACGCCCGGAAACGGGCGCUAAUACCGCAUACUAUCAGACGAGCUUCGGUGGGAUUAGCUAGUUGGUGGGGUAAAGGCCUACCAAGGCGACGAUCCGUAACUGGUCUGAGAGGAUGAUCAGUCACACUGGAACUGAGACACGGUCCAGACUCCUACGGGAGGCAGCAGUGGGGAAUAUUGGACAAUGGGCGAAAGCCUGAUCCAGCCAUGCCGCGUGUGUGAAGAAGGUCUUCGGAUUGUAAAGCACUUUAAGUUGGGAGGCGUUACCAACAGAAUAAGCACCGGCUAACUUCGUGCCAGCAGCCGCGGUAAUAC